AAUAAGGGCGAUGAGUGAAUCUAAACUACACAUAAGUGAGGUAUUGAGCCUAAUAGAGUAGAGCACUCUCUACUAAUUUUUGUUUUGAGAGAUUUGAUGAUCCAUGAAGUCGUGAUAUCAAGUGUGUCAUAUGUGGUGAAUGAUAAGAGGCACUAGGGUAGCCAUUUGGCCUGCUUUUGAAUUCCUACCCAUACACUAACCCCUAGUGAGCCAUGUUUGAGCCUUGCCGUGAUUGUUCAUAUUAGUCA
rnacentral:lncRNA from 1 species